rnacentral:rRNA from 1 species
GAUGAACGCUGGCUACAGGCUUAACACAUGCAAGUCGAGGGGAAACGACGGGGAAGCUUGCUUCCCCGGGCGUCGACCGGCGCACGGGUGAGUAACGCGUAUCCAACCUGCCUCUGACUGAGGGAUAACCCGUCGAAAGUCGGCCUAAUACCUCAUGGCAUCGUCUGCGGGCAUCCAACGACGAUUAAAGAUUUCAUCGGUUAGGGAUGGGGAUGCGUCUGAUUAGCUUGUUGGCGGGGUAACGGCCCACCAAGGCUACGAUCAGUAGGGGUUCUGAGAGGAAGGUCCCCCACAUUGGAACUGAGACACGGUCCAAACUCCUACGGUAGGCAGCAGUGAGGAAUAUUGGUCAAUGGGCGAGAGCCUGAACCGGCUGAGUAGCGUGCAGGAAGACGGCCUGAUGGGUUGUAAACGGCUUUUAUGUGGGGAGUAAGGGAAGGAGGUGUCUUUCAUUGCAGGUGCCGCAAGAUAAGGACCGUCUAAUUCUGUGGGGCAGCCGCGGGAUACGGGUGGCCCGGUUGUGUUCGGGAUUAUUGGGUUUAGGAGUGUGUUUUCUUUUGUUUGUGGUUUUUGUUUUUGGAGUGCUGGAGUCUGUUGUGGUGGUUUGCUGGUCGCUUGUGUGUGCAAUGGUUGUGAGUGGUGUGUGUGGGGUGGUUUGUGGUGGUGGACUAUGAUGUCCUGUUGUUGUGUCUUCUGUUGUGGCAUAUGGGUGUAUGUGUGUGUGUGGGUUUGUGUACGCUAUGUGUUGCCUGGUUGCUAGUUGUGUAUUGAUGUGAAUUGGUUUGUGUGUUUCGGUGGAUGUGUAAAAAAGAAAAAAAAAAAAAUGUAUGAUGAUAUGGUUUCGUGGUUGUGUAUUGACAUCUGGCUGUGUUGUAGUGUGAUGUGUUUGUGUUUGUGUGUUGUGUGGUGUGGUUGUGUAAUGUGUGUGUAGUGUGUUGUAGGUGU